UCCUGGCUGGCUCAGUGAGAAGAGCAUGUGACUCUUGAUCUUAAGGUUGUGAGUUCAAGCCCCACAUUGGGUA
rnacentral:tRNA from 1 species